rnacentral:rRNA from 1 species
UCGAGGAUAUUUAGCAAUGCCCGAAAGGGUGACUAUGCGACGCCGCGUGUGCGAUGAAGGUCUUCGGAUCGUAGAGCACUGUCAACCGGGAGGAAUCUCAGGUUUACUAAUAGUAGAUCUGGGUGACAGUACCGGUGGAGGAAGCCACGGCUAACUCCGUGCCAGCAGCCGCGGUAAUACGGAGGUGGCAAGCGUUACUCGGAUUGAUUGGGUGUAAAGCGUGCGCAGGCGGUUAUACAAGACAGGCGUGAAAUCCCCGGGCUUAACCUGGGAAUGGCGCCUGUGACUGUAUAGCUAGAGUGUGUCAGAGGGGGGUAGAAUUCCACGUGUAGCAGUGAAAUGCGUAGAUAUGUGGAGGAAUACCAAUGGCGAAGGCAGCCCCCUGGGAUAACACUGACGCUCAUGCACGAAAGCGUGGGGAGCAAACAGG